UACGUAGGGUGCGAGCGUUAAUCGGAAUUACUGGGCGUAAAGCGUGCGCAGGCGGUUUUGUAAGCCAGAUGUGAAAGCCCCGGGCUCAACCUGGGAAUGGCAUUUGGGACUGCAAGGCUUGAGUGCGGCAGAGGAGGAUGGAAUUCCGCGUGUAGCAGUGAAAUGCGUAGAUAUGCGGAGGAACACCGAUGGCGAAGGCAAUCCCCUGGGCCUGCACUGACGCUCAUGCACGAAAGCGUGGGGAGCAAACAGA
rnacentral:rRNA from 1 species